GCACUUUAGAGACCAGCUAAGUUUGUUCUAGGUGUAAGCUUUCAUGUGCAUGGACACUUCAGAUAUCUGAAGAACUGUGCAUUUACACGAAAGCUUAUACCCAGGACAAACUUAGUUGGUCUCUAAGGUGC